GGUGCCAUGGCUUAGCUGGCUAAAGUACCUGUCUAGUAAACAGGAGAUCCUGGGUUCAACUCCCAGUGGUGCCU
rnacentral:tRNA from 1 species